rnacentral:tRNA from 1 species
GGAGGAGUGGCGAAGUGGCUAAACGCGGCGGACUGUAAAUCCGUUCCUUCGGGUUCAAAGGUUCGAAUCCUUUCUCCUCCACCA